GCCGGGCGGGGUGGAGCGGCGGUCCCAGCUCCCCGCCCUGCUGGGCCGGCCGCGCGUUCUCUCUCGUACCGCCAAAGCUCGGUCUCGGCAGUGUCACUCGCGCCCUUGACCAGCGAGCCCGCUGGAAUUUAGUGACUGGGAUCGACGUCGCCGUUCGCAGUAAAGGGGAGCGCACAGACUCGGGGAGGGUCCCGUUCUCUGGUGAGGAGGUGGCUGCCUGCGCUCUGGAAGCAGGGGGAACCGGCUCCUCCUGGGGAGGAGAGUGCCUGGGGUAAGAAGCUCAGAGAUCAUCCUGCCAUCACUGCAGCCAUGAUUUCACCAGGCUCGUGCACUGUGAGGGUAUUGCGAUCUGAAAUCUCUGCUGCUGGAAAGAGGAAUUUAUUCACAAGACUCUAAUCUUGUGAAUAGGACCCUUCACUCCUACAAACCUGCCGACGAGUGAUGGCAGUGUGCCCCGAGUCGAGCUCACAACAUGCUCAGGAGCUGCCUUCCUCUGGAGCAUCCUGCAUCACAGCCCCAGGGCCCUGAGUGAAUCAACAGUGAAGCACACACCAAGAGAGACAGAGAUGGCCCCAGACCACAGGGAUAAGCCUGAGUUCUUGCUGCUGUGCCUGCUCUCCGGCUUGGGAGCUGCAGCUCUCCAGAACCUGUGAAGCCCCUCUCAGCAGGACCCUCCUCUGUUGUGAACUCUGGCAGAUUGUGAGAACUGGAAAGUGGUCAAAUCACAGCCUCUCAGCACAGUCACUAAUGAAGUGUCUGUGCAGCCUGGUCUCAUGCCAGGCAGGGCCGUGCUGCUGCCAGUGCUUGGGACUAAGAAGUGGCACAGUUGCCUGAAGGGUUGCAGUGGGCUUUUAAAAAUAAAAAAAAAUUCUGAGCAGUAAACCUUGCUAGGCAGUAAAUGUCUGCUGGACAAACAGGUCAGCCCACAGGGCAGCCAAAACUAUCAGUGCUUGGGCAAAGCAGGUAAAUCAUUGGCCCUGCUUCAAGGAGAUCACCUGCUGUGAGCAGCUCCUGUCACU